rnacentral:rRNA from 1 species
GGAGCGAGCUACAAUGCAGUCGAAGCGUGUAGCAAUACACGAGUGGCGGACGGGUGAGUAACGCGUGGGAACCUGCCCAAUGGUAGGGAAUAACUGCGGGAAACUGCAGCUAAUACCCUAUGCUCCCUACGGGGGAAAGAUUUAUCGCCAUUGGAGGGGCCCGCGUCGGAUUAGCUAGUUGGCGGGGUAAUGGCCCACCAAGGCUACGAUCCGUAGCUGGUCUGAGAGGAUGAUCAGCCACACUGGGACUGAGAUACGGCCCAGACUCCUACGGGAGGCAGCAGUGGGGAAUAUUGGACAAUGGGGGAAACCCUGAUCCAGCAAUGCCGCGUGAGUGAAGAAGGCCUUAGGGUUGUAAAGCUCUUUCGGCGGGGACGAUGGUGACGGUACCCGCAGAAGAAGCCCCGGCUAACUUCGUGCCAGCAGCCGCGGUAAUACGAAGGGGGCUAGCGUUGUUCGGAAUCACUGGGCGUAAAGGGCGCGUAGGCGGCGCGACAAGUCAGGCGUGAAAGCCCCGGGCUCAACCCGGGAAUUGCGCUUGAUACUGUCGUGCUUGAGGCCGGGAGAGGAUGGCGGAAUUCCCAGUGUAGAGGUGAAAUUCGUAGAUAUUGGGAAGAACACCGGUGGCGAAGGCGGCCAUCUGGACCGGUUCUGACGCUGAGGCGCGAAAGCGUGGGGAGCAAACAGGAUUAGAUACCCUGGUAGUCCACGCCGUAAACGAUGAGUGCUAGACGUCGGGGGGUUCACCCUCCGGUGUCGCAGCUAACGCUUUAAGCACUCCGCCUGGGGAGUACGGUCGCAAGAUUAAACUCAAUGAAUUGACGGAANNNNNNNNNNNNNU